UUAAAUUCAGGGGGUCUUCCCACUUCAUCUGAGGUCUAAUUCAUAGAUGCAGAAACACACCUCGUCACCAAACUCGAUGUUACUCUCAUUUGACAACUAAGCACGCUUCUUCAUUUGUUUCUUUAAGCUUACACAACAUAGGGUUUGAGGAUUGUAUUCACAAUAAGUGAAAGCAAACUUGCCACGAACACACACAGUCG
rnacentral:misc_RNA from 1 species